GUUGAUGUUACAGGUCCACGUUAAGGAACAUGGACUUAGAGGACAUCACACUUGAAAAAAAGUAACUAUAUUCAAGAAGAAAUUACUUUUACUCUUGGAGGAAAAGCAACUCACCAAUAGCUUCAGUUUGCUGUUAGAGAUUGAAGAUUACGUGAAGUUCAGAACACAGGUGUAUUACAUUUUGGCUGUCUUCCUGACUAGCAUGAUCAUACUCUUGAGUACCCACUGUUCUCCUACAGAGAGUUUAUGAAAACAGGUAAGCUUGAUAUUUAACUAAUGUUUAUAAAUUGCUUGAUUUGCAGAAAAGCAGACUACUGUUUAUUACAUAAAAUCUACAUACAUAUAUGUAUAAGACCCUGAUAAUAGAGCUAACAUGGUUUAUGAUUAUAAAUCAGUCUGGAGGGGUUGAUAGCAUUGAUGGUCUGUUUAAGAUAUAAAGUAACCAAGUGAAAAAUUAAAAUUGAAUCUACUGUUGUGGAAUUUCAUCUCAAAUCGUAUUAUUUGUUCUUCCUGAAUAUCCGUCUCCCUUCUGCUCUGCCUAACCAAAUUUCCAUUUUAGUUUUCAUCUGUCAGAAUGGCAAACAGUUUUUAGAAGUUAUGGUUUAAAAAAUCUCAAAGAACUUGGCAUUUUCAAAUGUUGCUAAUGGAAGUUCAAAUAGGUUCAAUAUUUG
ensembl:lincRNA